rnacentral:rRNA from 1 species
UAAUACCCUAUAGGUUACAGAUGCUGGAAUGCCCUGUAACUCAAAGUUCCGGCGCCUUAGGAUGGAUCUGCGGCCGAUUAGGUUGUUGUUGGGGUAACGGCCCAACAAGCCAGUAAUCGGUAAGGGUUGUGGGAGCAAGAGCCCGGAGUUGGAUUCUGAGACACGAAUCCAGGCCCUACGGGGCGCAGCAGGCGCGAAAACUUUACAAUGCGGGCAACCGUGAUAAGGGAACCUCGAGUGCCUGUAUAUGCAGGCUGUCCAGGUGUCUAAAGAACACCUGAAGAAAGGGCCGGGCAAGACCGGUGCCAGCCGCCGCGGUAAUACCGGCGGCUCGAGUGGUGGCCACUUUUAUUGGGCUUAAAGCGUUCGUAGCUGGGUUAUUAAGUCUCUUAGGAAAUCCGACGGCUCAACUGUCGGGCGUCUAAGAGAUACUGGUAAUCUUGGAACCGGGAGAGGUGAGGGGUACUUCGGGGGUAGGAGUGAAAUCCUGUAAUCCUCGAGGGACCACCUGUGGCGAAGGCGCCUCACCAGAACGGCUUCGACAGUGAGGGACGAAAGCUGGGGGAGCAAACCGGAUUAAAUACCCGGGUAGUCCCAGCCGUAAACGAUGCGCGUUAGGUGU